AUUGAACGCUGGCGGCAUGCCUAACACAUGCAAGUCGAGCGGAAACAGGCAGCUUGCUCCUGGCUUCUGCGGCAGGCGGGUGUGUUACACCUAGGAGUCUGCCGGGGAGGGGGGGAUCACAUCCGGAGAUGGGCUCUUAUACCGCAUACGUUGUGGGGGAGAGCGGGGGGGAUCGUCGCACCGCAUGCCAUCAGAUGAGUCUAGGUCCGAUUAGCUAGUUGGGGGGGUAAAGGCCUACCAAGGCGACGAUCCGUAGCUGGUCUGAGAGGAUGAUCAGUCACACUGGAACUGAGACACGGCCCAGACUCCUACGGGAGGCAGCAGUGGGGAAUAUUGGACAAUGGGCGAAAGCCUGAUCCAGCAAUGCCGCGUGUGUGAAGAAGGUCUUCGGAUUGUAAAGCGCUUUUAGUCGGGAGGAAAAGGAGUUGGCUAAUACCUGGCGGUGUUGACGGUACCGAAAGAAUAAGCACCGGCUAACUACGUG
rnacentral:rRNA from 1 species